GUCGGCGUAGCUCAGAUGGAAGAGCAAGUGACCGUGGAUCACUAUGUCGCAGGUUCAAGUCCUGCCGCCGGCUCCA
rnacentral:tRNA from 1 species